rnacentral:rRNA from 1 species
AUUGAACGCUGGCGGCAGGCCUAACACAUGCAAGUCGAGCGGAUGAAGGGAGCUUGCUCCUGGAUUCAGCGGCGGACGGGUGAGUAAUGCCUAUGAAUCUGCCUGGUAGUGGGGGAUAACGUCCGGAAACGGGCGCUAAUACCGCAUCCGUCCUGAGGGAGAAAGUGGGGGAUCUUCGGACCUCACGCUAUCAGAUGAGCCUAGGUCGGAUUAGCUAGUUGGUGGGGUAAAGGCCUACCAAGGCGACGAUCCGUAACUGGUCUGAGAGGAUGAUCAGUCACACUGGAACUGAGACACGGUCAAGACUCCUACGGGAGGCAGCAGUGGGGAAUAUUGGACAAUGGGCGAAAGCCUGAUCCAGCCAUGCCGCGUGUGUGAAGAAGGUCUUCGGAUUGUAAAGCACUUUAAGUUGGGAGGAAGGGCAGUAAGUUAAUACCUUGCUGUUGUGACGGUACCAACAGAAUAAGCACCGGCUAACUUCGGG